rnacentral:lncRNA from 1 species
AGCAGUCCCCGCGAGCUCAGUUCCGGGAGCCGGAAUUCGGCCGCUUAGUGCUUGGUGUAUGCUCUGAUAGGAGCAGGGUCCAAGAAGCAGCCUCCUCAGGCUCCGUGGCCCUGGGCCAGGGCGGUUCCGGGACGGUUCCGGGAGCCGGAACUCGGCCGCCCCGCGCUCGGUGUUCGCUCCGAUAAGAUCAGGUUCUAAGAAGCACCCAGGCACUGAACCCUAGCAAUCUGUCUGCAAGCCGCAGGCGAAUUGCAGCCUGAAAUUACCUGUUCUAUGGCUGAAUGAGCUGCGGUCAGUCGAAAACAGGUAUGGUGACGUCAGCUUUCCAACAUGGUGGCUGCUGGCCUCCUCUGUGGUCUGACUGGUGUGGAGAACCGAGAUGGACCACUU